rnacentral:lncRNA from 1 species
GCUACACGCUCCAGGCUGGGGCCCGGCCCUCCCGGCCUUAGUUUCUUCCCUUCCCUCAGUGGCCUGGACCAGGGCGGAGGGGUGGAAACGACCUACCCCAGAGACGGAGGGAAGACUAGGAUGAUACCUGGACGGCAGGUGAAGAAGGGCUGGGCGCAGCUGUCCAAGAUUAGGAGACUUUGUUUGUCCCCCCCAGGUCCAUGUGGGAAUGGAGCCGCCGUAUUAAUACUAAUACCGGGUAAUUAAUGUUUUCUCUUCGUUGCUCUCGCUAUCUCCAAACGAGGUAAAAGACUCAGCACAUAAGCCGGCAACCCUGCCAGCCGAACAUUUCUAAAAAGUUAUAUUCAUUUAAAAUUACAUGUACUUUUUUUAAAGUUUUUUUCUUUUUUUGUAGAGAUGGGAGGGUGAGGGGGGCAGGUCUUGCUCUGUUGGCCCGGCUGGUCUCAGGCGAUCCACCUGCUUCGGCCUCCCAAAGUGUUGGGAUUAUAGGUGUGAGCUGCUGCGCCUGGCCUUUCAUGUUCUUUUUAAAAUUUAUUUAUUUGUUUUGGUAUCCCUAUUGAAGUUAUCAUGUACUUAUAUAAUCAAACAAUGCAGAUAAAAUGAAAACCAAUCUCUUCCCUUGAAGCACUGUUCCACUCCAACUUUUAUAGCUUUUGCAGCCUCUGGCAAAGGAUUUCUCCUUUAAACUGCCACUGUGACACAAUCACAAACGUACAUGUUUGUAUUAAUUUUUUUUUUUUUUUUGGACAGGGUCUUGCUGUGUCACUCAUGCUGGAGUAUAGUGCAUGAUCAUGGCUCACUGCAGCCCCCGAACUUCUGGGCACAAACGAUCUUCUCCACCACGCCUAGCGUUUUUUUCUUUUCUUUUCUUUUCUUUUUUUUUGUAGAGAUGGGAGUGUCUCACUAUGUUACCCAGGCUGGUCUCAAACUCCUGGGCUCAAGUGAUUCUCCCACCUCAGCCUCCCAAAGUGCUGGGAUUACAGGCGUAAGCCACCACGCCCAGCCUGUAGCUCUUGAUAAAGAGAUGCACACAGUCUCUUCUGAGAUCACACACCCUUGAUGGGAUAGAAUCCACUCUUCUUCCAAGCACUCAACUAAGACUUUUGAGCUGCACUAGCAGCUUUGUAUACGUGUCCCAUUUAAUUUCCACAACAAGUCAAAGGAGUGGGGCAUUAUCAUUCCUAUCUUAUAGACUAUAAAACAGGGUUAGGGAAGUUAAGUGGCCAAGGUUACCCAGUUAUUAAGUGGUGGGAUCAAUAUUCAAGCCAGAAUCUGACUGAAUUCCAAGGAGGCUCAGAAGUAAUUACCGUGCUAUUCAGAGAUGAGUAAAAUACAGGUCCUGCAUUUAGAGACUUUAUAGUCUGCUUGGUGAGCUCCAGUUAAGGCAGCUCAACCAGCUGGCUGGAAACAUCAGACUUCCUGUGAUGCUGAAGCAGGCAGAACUGAGGAUGCUCUGUUGGAUGGCUCUUGUCACUCUACAGGAAUGCAUGAAAGAGAGCCACGAUCUCCCACUCAUUGUACUUCCAUGUCAAGUUACCCUGCAGUGUGAGCUGAUGUGAAUGAGAUCUGAGGUGGAAUUGCACGAAUUAGGAAAACAGCACAGAGCUGGCCUGUAAGGCAACCAGCAGUGCAGGAGGCUGUCCCUAAUUCAGGAGGUCAGUUCUGGACAGCCCAGAGGACAGUCAAGUUGCCAGAUUUGUCCCCUACAUAAAUAUGUUCCAGGCAGCUGACCACAGUUCCCUUCAAAGCUCCCUCACGUUCAUUUUUCUUUUAUUUCUGAUUAUACCAGGUUAUGGGGGGGGGGGGGUGUUGAUUAGAUACUAAUAUGCCCAUGACAUCGCUUUUUAGCACUUGGUAGCUUUAAACUUUCUUCAAAUUGGGUCAAAUGAUCUUUUAAGGAAGAGAGUGUGUCUGGAGUUCUAUUGAAAGUUGGCUUUAUUAGUAUUUUAAAUAAUUCAAGGUCCAUUAAGCACUUCUUUUGCUUGCAUUUUGGCGAUAAUGUAUAAAUUAUGUUUUAAAAAGCAUGAUUCCUUAAUUCUUGGAACUAAUGAGCUAAAAUGGACAAGAGUGCCUUUUUGUUGGUUGGUUGGUUGGUUGGUUGGUUGGUUUGCCUCACAGGCCAUCUGAUGCCUCUUGCCUGAAAAAAAGUGUCUAUACUUGUAAGAAUAAGCCAGUUUAUGCUGUGGUAAUAUGCAACUUUAAAAAUCUCAGUGACUUGGCCAGGUGCGGUGGCUCACGCCUGUAAUCCCAGCACUUUGGGAGGCCUAGGAGGGCAGAUCACCUGAGGUCAGGAGUUCGAGACCAGCCUGACCAACAUGGAGAAACCUUGUCUCUACUAAAAAUACAAAAAUUAGCCGGGCAUGGUGGCACAUGCCUGUAAUCCCAGCUACUCGGGAGGCUGAGGCAGGAGAAUCUCUUGAACUUGGGAGGUGGAGGUUGCAGUGAGCCAAGAUCGUGCCAUUGCACUCCAGCCUGGGCAACAAGAGCAAAACUCCGUCUCAAAAAAACAAACAAAAAAAUCUCAGUGACUUAAAAUGACAAGAUGUUGCCUAGGCACCAAGAGGCUCUGCUCUGUGCCCUUUUCCAGGACCCAGGCUGAUAGAGCAGGCCCUCUCUGGAACACAGACUGUGGUCAUUGGCAAAGGAAAAAAGUCCCCCAGAGAGUCUCAUCCCAGCAAUUAAAAGCUCAGUCCAGAAGUGACACAUUUCAAUUCUGCCUAUUGACCACACAAUAGGGGUGGGUGGGGCAGGAAGUGUGUGCCACCUCAUGACCUGAAGGGCAGAGCACUGAAGCCCUUUGGUGAACAGCAUCAGUGACUACCUGAGUGACCUAGCUCAAAUCCCUUAUCCCUAAAUGAAUCAGUCUGCUCUGCCAGCACCUUAACCUUUGUUGCUUGUGACUACUUCAGCUCAGCCCACUAUCUGGUCUCUGCUUGGGCAUUCUACUGCUCUCCUCUUUUCAUAUUUGAUGUGUCUUUCCCAAACUCCAUGACCCCGUAGGCCAAGGAUAUAUCACCACAUUAUCUCUAAUCUUUAUCACAACUCUUCAGUGUAAAUAUGUGAUUUCUUGUGGCAGAGACUGGUUCUGGCUCUCUGUUUGCCAAAUCCAUGCCCUCUUUUUCUCUGGGCACAGAGAUAAAUGACAUUUCCCAGCUUGCCUUGCAGAUACACAGGUGUGGCCAUGUGACUGAGUUCUAGUUGGCGGAAUAUAAUGGCACCAUUUCCAAGCCUGGCCCAUAAAAACCUCCCAUGCAUGCUCCUUUUCCUGUUCUACCAGCGGGAGACCAAUGCCCAGGGGAUUUUGAGAGCCAGCAUUAGAGAUGGCAGGCCCCUCAUCAACUUGGGUCCCUGAAGGACUGUUCACAGCAGAGUGCUGCUGCCUUUGACCCAGGAGCAUCCACAGUGGAUUCUCUCUCUUUUUUUUUUGAGACGGAGUGGCCCAAGCUGGAGUGCAGUGGUGCAAUCUUGGCUCACAGCAACCUCUGCCUCCUGGGUUCAAGCGACUGUCUUGCCUCAGCCUCCCGAGUUGCUGGGACUACAGGCGCAAGCCACCAUGCCCAGCUAAUUUUUGUGUUUUUAGUAGAGAUGAAGUUUCACCAUGUUGGCCGGGCUGGUCUCGAACUCCUGACCUCAGAUGAUCCCGCCUGCCUCGGCUUCCCAAAGUGUUGGGAUUACAGGCGUGACCCACCGCGCCUGGCCCACAGUGGACUCUUGUAAGGGAGAAAUAAACUUGUUACCGCACCUAUCAUCACCCUAACUAAUUACUCUCUUUAUAAAGGAGAUUAAGGAACUUGUCCAAGAGUUGUGUAGGGCUAUUUGUUCCAAAAUCCUUCACUAGAUAUUAAAUGUCCUCAUGAAGCUGCUACAGUUUUCUUUUUUCUUUUGUUUUUUUUUUUCUUUUUUUUUUUUUGAGACAGAGCCUCACUUUGUCACCCAGGCUGGAGGGCAGUGGCAAGAUCUCCAUUCACUGCAACCCUCACCUCCUAGGUUCAAGCGAUUCUCCUGCCUCAGCCUCUUGAGUAGCUGGGAUUACAGGUGUGUGCCACCACACCCGGCUAGAAGCUGCUCGAGAUUUCUAGGGCAGUUCUGAAUUGCACAGUUCUCUAGGAGGUGGGAGAGCAUCAGUGGCCUGCAUGUUCUGGUUUGGUCUGGGCUACAGUGUAACACUGGGAAGGAUGCCUGGGGGUUGCUUCUCCUCUCAGUUUUCCCUUUCCUUGUCAAUCCAAGUGCAGAUGGACAGCCUGACAUCCAUACAGAAGAAUGCUGUGACAGCUUUCAGUACUCUGUUGCCGACUGAAAUCUGUGACUGUGGCUUGUUUUCUUUGGUGCAUGACUUCACUCUUCAGGCUGAGCACCAGUGUGCUUACACUGCAGAGGAGUUUGUAGCAUUGACAUGACUUCUGGCAGAUGUGCUCUUGGAGUGCAGCCAUCAGCAACUACUGGAUUGUAAUCAAAAGGUCUCAUCAAAAAAUUAGCCUGGGGUGGAGUGGGACAUCUUUGCAAAGGGCUAAGAGGACGGGGGUUAAAUGUGUGCAAGAAAUUCCAGCAAGUGAACUCCAAGGGCCAGAGUGGAUUACUGAAGCAAGCUUUGAAAUAUUCUGUAUUUAUUUAUUUAAAAUUACAAUAGUGCAACAUACAUGUUGUAACACAUUCAAACAGUACUGAAGUAUGCCAAGUAUAAACGUUGAAGCUCUCUUUCCAUCCAAAGUCUACUCCUCCCAAGUAAUUCACCAUUGUUGAUAGCUGGAAUGCAUCCUGAGUUUAAAUAGAACCCAAAGUUUGCGAUACGUUGGAGAAUUUGUCAAUCUAUGCAAUAUCAGCUAAUUACAACUAAGGUUUCUCAAAUUUUGACUAGGUGCCAGGCAUUUCUCCAAACGCUUUCUGUAUUUUCUCAUUUAAUCCUCAACACAAUGUCUUGCUACUUCUUCUACUGAGGUAGAGAAGGACCGAAGUGAUUACCCAGGCCACACACUCAGUGUAAAGCAAAGCCAGGGUUUUUUUGUUUGUUUAUUUUUUGUUUUGUUUUGUUUUGUUUUGUUUUUAAGUUUUAAGUUUUUUUUGUAGAGACAGGGUUUUGCUAUGUUGUCCAGGCUGAGCUCAAACUCCUGGCCUCAGGCAUCCUCCCACCUUGUCCUCCUAAAGUGCUGGGAUUACAGGAAACCCAGACUUUGAACCCAAGCAGUUGGGCUACAGAGUUCACACAGUAGUGACUCAGCCAUAUACCUUUUAGCUAGUAGACAAGGAGAGUUCUAGGAUGGAGUACAUUCUAUGUGGUGGACCAUGGAUGGACCCAGUUACAGGGUUACAGAACUGGAAACAGUGACAUCCAAGUAUUGACUCUACCACUUCCCUCAUUUCCCUGAGCCUUAGUGAUUGCAACUGUAAAGUAUGGCUGGCAGGUCUUAUGUUGCUGAGUAUUGAUAUUAAUGAAUCAAUGAUGCUAAAGGGUCAUGUAAAUACUGUACCUAAAAUUACCCCAUAUAUCUACAAAAUCAGCUUACUUUCAUUUGUACUUCAUCUCAGUGAAAGAGUCAUUGGAGGACAAAUGGCUGUUGAGAUUACUCUGCUACUUGUAUUAGGGAUAAUUUAAUUUCCUACAUGUUAAAGGCUGUUAAUCCUCGAUUUUCACUUUCCCCAGCAGAUGCAAUGACUCCCUUUCGGCUUUCUAAACGCCCUGCGAAUCCCCAUAAUCCACUUUGCAAUGAUUACUCUAAAAUGUUUUACUUAACUCUUUCUAAUUUUUUAAAGGGAAAAUUAUUUUGCGCUUACAAAUUGUUAUACCUCAGCAAGAUCUUUACUGUACUGAUAAUUUUGUCCUUCUACCACUAAGGGGCGCUGCUUCAUUGAAUUUUUUU